AUUGAACGCUGGCGGCAGGCCUAACACAUGCAAGUCGAACGGUAGCACAGAGAGCUUGCUCUCGGGUGACGAGUGGCGGACGGGUGAGUAAUGUCUGGGAAACUGCCCGAUGGAGGGGGAUAACUACUGGAAACGGUAGCUAAUACCGCAUAAUGUCGCAAGACCAAAGAGGGGGACCUUCGGGCCUCUUGCCAUCGGAUGUGCCCAGAUGGGAUUAGCUUGUAGGUGAGGUAACGGCUCACCUAGGCGACGAUCCCUAGCUGGUCUGAGAGGAUGACCAGCCACACUGGAACUGAGACACGGUCCAGACUCCUACGGGAGGCAGCAGUGGGGAAUAUUGCACAAUGGGCGCAAGCCUGAUGCAGCCAUGCCGCGUGUAUGAAGAAGGCCUUCGGGUUGUAAAGUACUUUCAGCGGGGAGGAAGGGAGUGAGGUUAAUAACCUUAUUCAUUGACGUUACCCGCAGAAGAAGCACCGGCUAACUCCGUGCCAGCAGCCGCGGUAAUACCGAGGGUGCAAGCGUUAAUCGGAAUUACUGGGCGUAAAGCGCCGCAGGCGGUCUGUCAGUCGGAUGUGAAAUCCCCGGGCUCAACCUGGGAACUGCAUUCGAAACUGGCAGGCUGGAGUCUUGUAGAGGGGGGUAGAAUUCCAGGUGUAGCGGUGAAAUGCGUAGAGAUCUGGAGGAAUACCGGUGGCGAAGGCGGCCCCCUGGACAAAGACUGACGCUCAGGUGCGAAAGCGUGGGGAGCAAACAGGAUUAGAUACCCUGGUAGUCCACGCUGUAAACGAUGUCGACUUGGAGGUUGUUCCCUUGAGGAGUGGCUUCCGGAGCUAACGCGUUAAGUCGACCGCCUGGGGAGUACGGCCGCAAGGUUAAAACUCAAAUGAAUUGACGGGGGCCCGCACAAGCGGUGGAGCAUGUGGUUUAAUUCGAUGCAACGCGAAGAACCUUACCUACUCUUGACAUCCAGAGAACUUAGCAGAGAUGCUUUGGUGCCUUCGGGAACUCUGAGACAGGUGCUGCAUGGCUGUCGUCAGCUCGUGUUGUGAAAUGUUGGGUUAAGUCCCGCAACGAGCGCAACCCUUAUCCUUUGUUGCCAGCGGUCCGGCCGGGAACUCAAAGGAGACUGCCAGUGAUAAACUGGAGGAAGGUGGGGAUGACGUCAAGUCAUCAUGGCCCUUACGAGUAGGGCUACACACGUGCUACAAUGGCAUAUACAAAGAGAAGCGACCUCGCGAGAGCAAGCGGACCUCAUAAAGUAUGUCGUAGUCCGGAUUGGAGUCUGCAACUCGACUCCAUGAAGUCGGAAUCGCUAGUAAUCGUGGAUCAGAAUGCCACGGUGAAUACGUUCCCGGGCCU
rnacentral:rRNA from 1 species